rnacentral:rRNA from 1 species
CCCUUAGAUGUUCUGGGCCGCACGCGCGCUACACUGACUACUUCAACGAGUUGUUUCCUUGAUCGAAAGGUCUGGGUAAUCUUUGAAAGGUAGUCGUGAUGGGGAUAGAUCCUUGCAAUUUUUGAUCUUCAACGAGGAAUUCCUAGUAAACGCAAGUCAUCAGCUUGCAUUGAUUACGUCCCUGCCCUUUGUACACACCGCCCGUCGCACCUACCGAUUGAAUGGGCCGGUGAAUCUUUAGGACUGUGGCUGAGGCCUUGCCUUGUGCGGGUCUGGCCGUGGGAAUUUAGUUAAACCUUACCAUUUAGAGGAAGGUGAAGUCGUANCA